CAUUACUCUCUCACACCUGCUAUCCCUCAUCUUGGCCUGCUCCUUUUCGUUCAUGCUCGCCCUCAUUGCUCUGUCAUCUCCAUUGAUCUCUCCCUCGCUCACGCCGCACUGAUCCGAAGCCCACUCUCCUCCGCGCUGCACUACAACUUCGACGAUCGAUUGAUCCCUUCACCACCUCACUGUUUCUCUUUCUCUUCCCGGCUAGCUGUCAUGCGGCGGAGCUGAGAUCUGAGCUCAGUAAGGUCUCUCCUCCGCGCGAGAGAGUAACAUAGGAGCUUGACGCCCCCAAUACCAAUGCAAGCAGUAGCGCACACCCUGCCGUGACAGUGCAAGCAGAGGCAGCUCCGACCUGCCCCCUGCCUCCCCCAGUCGGGCAGCCCAAUGACAGUGCAAGCAGAGGCAGUUCCGACCUGCCCCUUGCCUCCCCAAGUCGGCCAGCCCAGUGACAGAUCUGCCACCAUAAUGGGGCAGGCAGCAGCAGCUUGACGCCCCCAGCAGCCCCCCGGCGACCACCUUCGCGCGCGUGUGCCACCAGCUGAUGUGCAUACCUUAAUUCCCUUCCGGCCCCUACUCUGUUGCAUGUGACAAGUGGAUUUUCCUCAUCGUUGAUCGUCGUUGAACUCAUCAGAGGUGUGUUGCAUUAUGAUCAAAAGAAGUAUACUUAUUCAUAUGCUUCACGUACUUGUUGUUUAAGAAUAUUGAUUCAUGUUUAGGUCGAAUUGAUUAUACAUGACCAUAGCUUAGUCGCCAUGAUAGAAAUGUGGAGAAGGAGGAUGGGCUUUGGGGAAAGGGUGAAGUGUUCCCAUUAUGUUUGGUUUUGCUUGUUGACUGUUGUAGAGUAAUAAGGAGAAUUACAAUUCCUUAUUAUAUGUAAUCCCGAUUGAGUUGAUAUUUGCUAUAUAUUUAUUGCUAUUGAUUAAUAAACUUUUUAGUUUUUAUA